rnacentral:rRNA from 1 species
CCUACGGGCGGCCGCAGUGAGGAAUAUUGGUCAAUGGGCGGGAGCCUGAACCAGCCAAGUCGCGUGAGGGAAGACGGUCCUAUGGAUUGUAACCCUCUUUAGGCGGGGAGCAAUGCCGGGCACGCGUGCCCGGCGGGAGAGUACCCGCAGCAUAAGCAUCGGCUAACUCCGUGCCAGCAGCCGCGGUAAUACGGAGGAUGCGAGCGUUAUCCGGAUUUAUUGGGGUUAAAGGGUGCGUAGGCGGAUUUUUAAGUCAGCGGUAAAAUGUCCGGGCUCAACCCGGGCCGGCCGUUGAAACUGGGGAUCUUGAGUGGGCGAGAAGUAUGCGGAAUGCGUGGUGUAGCGGUGAAAUGCAUAGAUAUCACGCAGAACUCCGAUUGCGAAGGCAGCAUACCGGCGCCCGACUGACGCUGAGGCACGAAAGCGUGGGGAUCGAACAGGAUUAGAUACCCCGGUAGUC